rnacentral:rRNA from 1 species
GACGUAGGGCGCGAGCGUUGUCCGGAUUUAUUGGGCGUAAAGAGCUCGUAGGCGGCUUGUCGCGUCGACUGUGAAAACCCGCGGCUUAACUGCGGGACUGCAGUCGAUACGGGCAGGCUAGAGUUCGGUAGGGGAGACUCGGAAUUCCUGGUGUAGCGGUGAAAUGCGCAGAUAUCAGGGGGAACACCGGUGGCGAAGGCGGGUCUCUGGGCCCGAUACUGACGCUGAGGAGCGAAAGCGUGGGGAGCGAACAGG